AGUAGGUGCUAUUAUUGCUCCAUUUUACAGAGAAAGAAAUGGAGAACCAGAGAGGUUAAAUAACUUGCCCAAGGACCACUUGAUCAUUAGGUCAUGUGAAGAAUAUGCCAAUGUCAGGGGAAGAGCCUAUUAUCAACUAAAGAAAAACAAACAUCUAUAAUGUUUGCUUGAGUUUAUAAGGGAGAUACCAACUGAGGACAUGCUGUUUUCUUCGAGAUGCCUCACUCAGCUGACUGAGAACUGGAGCGAGAUGCAGGCGUGGCUGAGUAACUUCUCGAUUUAAAUGUGAUGUGAACUAAUGUAGAGAAAACAAUUCCCCUCAAAAUACAAUACCUGGAACUGAAU